AUUGCAACUAAUAUGUUCUUAGUACUGUAAUUCAAACUUUCUCUUCUACAUAGAACUGUUAGAUGGCAAGAAGAGUAGCAGAUUUACUCUUUGCAAUGGAAACCUUCGUGGGUGAAAAUUGAGUUCAUGAAACUAACUAAAUAAUUAGAUCAACAGGUCAGACAAUGGAGCCAUCAGAGAAGGACCUAUAUCUACACAAAGGAUGUUAUUUUUUACCAGUGUUGUCCUCACCCGAAAAGAUAGAUUCACUGGAAAGUUUUGAAAUCCAUGAUGACGAUACAUUUAUAAUCACAUAUCCUAAAUCAGGCACAGUGUGGACUCAGAACAUUGUGAGCUUGAUUCUUUAUGAAGGUCAUCGAGAUGGUACUGAAAAUAUUACUCUGAUUGACAGAGCACCGUGGCUGGAGUAUAAUAUUUACCAUGUAGAUUUACCCAAUCGCCCAUCACCUCGUGUCAUUUGUUCCCACCUGCCCUACUAUUUGAUACCCAAAGGAUUACGAAAUAAAAGAGCAAAAGUAGGACAUAUUUUGGUAACUUGUGGAAU